rnacentral:lncRNA from 1 species
CGAUAGCGUAGACUUGACAAUGUGAUAAUAUCUUUGACGGCCUCCAACCCGAGCUAACCUGGCAACACUAGGGAAUAUGGGAAAGGAAAGGGGAGUAAGCUUUACGCUUAGUAAGUUCAUAAGAAAACAAUAAGCAACUCAUUAACAAGUUUUAUCAAUGUUUACAACAUAAUCACAAAUUCACUACAAGUUGUCUUCCUGAGCAAUAGUCACUAAAUUAUUUAUAACUGGAGCUAAAAAACUCCAAAUCAAUUGCCGUUAAUUUUCCCCGAAAAUAGACUCAUAUAUCUUCCAUCUAUAAAAUUUUCAGAAUUUUAGGUUUGGCCAAUCAAUACUAGAUUUUUAUUCAAAUUUCCCCUAUUUCACUGUUUGAUUAAUCUCACCACUCCUCACUCCGAAUCAAAUUUCUCAUUCUACAGAAUUCAAAAUAUGUUCUAUUUGAUUUCAUUUGAAACUAUACUCAUUAAGGAGUCUAAGCAUAUAAAUUUUAUCUUAUAACCAUUUUUGUACAAAUUAUAAUGAUUUUCUAAAAACAGAACAGGGGACCCCGAAGUCAUUUGACUCUAUCCCACGCCACUUCAAAUAUCUCAUUAUCAGCAAUUCUUUUGCUUACACAGUUUCUUUUAUAAGAAACUAGACUCAUUAAGCUUUAAUUACAUAAUUUAUUCAGCUUCUAACUCAACUCCAACAAUUUAUGGUGAUUUUCCAAAAUCACGUUACUACUGCUGUCCCAAGCAGAUUUAUUACAAAUUUACUCUUUCACACAUUCUUUGCAUUCACAUUAUUUAAACAUGUAUAUCACCUAUCAAUUUCAUCACAUAUCUAUAAUUUCACUCAAGCAUAAUAUCAAUACAAUACAUCAUGCUCAAUGAUUCGCACACAAUCGCACAAUCGUUCAAAUUAGCAAUUAUAAGAUGAUUCCGCACAUAGUCCACCCUUAUCGAUAAUUUACGAUGGUUUUGCCCUUACUCACAUAUAUGACAUAGGCAUUUUCACAUAUGCUUCUCAUUUCACACUCAUGAUUCAAUUCCAAUUGAUCUAACAUGCAUAAGAAUAUAUCACAUACCUGGCCAACAUAAUGUAUUGAACAAAUUCAAUUGUCGAUUUAACACAAGGUCUCAUAGUCUUAGACUUUUAUCAAAUCACCGGCAUUUAGCCUGCUAGGUUUUAAACCCGAUAAUAUUAUUCACCAGCUUAAAGCUUGCUAGGCUCAAAGCCCAAAUAUCACCAUUAUAAAGUCGUCUCAUAAGCAAUUUAUAUAAUAUAGCAUGUAUACCUGUUCACUUUGCUCUAUUUAAUCAUUCAAUCACAAUUUAUAAUUUCCCUUUGAAUCAUUCGAUAUUUUGCACACUAAGUGUCAUUCUGAAUAUCUCGCACACUAAGUGUCAUUCUCAAUAUUUCGUACACUAAGUGCCAUUCUCAAUAUUUCGUACACUAAGUACCAUAUUUGAUUGCCCCGCACACUAAGUGCCACAUUUUGUCGAUAUGUCAUCAGACGUUAAAAUAUUCACGUAUAUACAAUUUAUACGAUAUUAAAGCAUUAGAAACAUAAAUUUAACAAUGCUUAUUGCAUACAAACUUACCUCGUUCGCGGUAACGAUAAAUUAGAUCGACGAAUCCGAUACUUUGUUUUUCCCUCGAUAUAGACUCGUACGAGGCUUAACUUGAUUUAAUCAAUCAAAUUCAACUAUUACAAUUCAUAUUCUAUUCAUUUUAACUCAAUUUCAUAUUUUGGUAAAAUUACUAUUUUACCCCUAAAGUUUUACUUUUAUAAAAUUUAGUCACUGAGCUCAAAAAAAUGCAAAUUAACUAUUUUUAACCAUAAUUAAGCUUAACCGAAUAUUCAUGGUAUUAAAACAGCCCAUAAAUUACUUUAUGGCAAAAUUACAUUUUUGCCCCUGAUAUUUCAACUUCUUUACAAUUUAGUCCCUAAGCUCGAAAAAUUAAAUUCAUUCAAUUUUUUGGCCAAACCCAUGCCUAGACAAAUUUACUACUACUUCAUAACAUCCCAUAUUUUCAUUUAUUCACACUUUCAACCACAUAAUUUCAAUAAUUCACAAUUUAAUACAAAAUUGACAUUUUUACCAAAAUUCACUUUACAAAACAUGUAUAUCCAACAACAAUAAUUUAUUUUCCAUCAUCAACUAUCAAAAUACUCAUGCACUCAACAAUGGCAACAUUCAAAUACUUUAACAGUUUUGAAAUCAGAGAUACGGGCUAGCUAGAAUACGAAGCAACGAUCUCAAAAACAUAAAAAUUAUCAAAAACCGAACACAAAACAUACCUAAAUCACUUCAUGCAAAUGCCGAAACUAAGGAAGCUUCAAUGGCUUUCUUUUCUCCUCCAUAUUCGGCCAAGAGAUAAAAUUUGCAUGGCCAUUUUAUGUUUUAUUUUUAUUUAAUACAUUUUAAUAUUCCAUUUACCUUUUUGUCCUUUAUAAUAAUACAUAAUUUCAUAUAUGCCAAACCACCAAUCUCCACUAUCAUAAAGUAAUGGUUUAAUUGAUAAAUAGGGACUUAUACUUUAGUAAAUCAUGGAAAAUAAACACUUAAACAAUUAGAAUGUAACUUUUUCAUUUUACGCGAUUUAGUUCUUUUUGCUUAAUAAACUAUCGAAACGGUAAAAUUUUUCAACGAAACUUUAAUACCAUCUUUUUGCCACUCCGUAAAUAUUUAUAAAAAUAUUUACGACUCGGUUUAUAUAAAUGAGGUCCCGAUACCUCAUUUCCUAAACCCACUUGACCUUAGGGUCAUACCACUUGAACUUAAUAAAUCACUUAUAAAACAAAUAUCACAAUAUCAAAAACAUUUUUAAAAUCACAAUUGACUAGUAAAUAUUAAAUAUAAUAUUUACAAACCUACUCGUCGGAUUUGGUGGCCCCGAAACCACUGUUCCGAUUAACCCUAAAAAUGGGCUGUUACAACUCUUCCCCCCUUAGGGAUUUUCGUCCCUGAAAAUCUUACCAAAGAAUAAAUUAGUGAUUUUCUUUCACCAACCUCAACAAUUUUUCACCUAGCCUCAGAUUUCUCAACUUUUCAAUCUCAUGAGCUAAGAUUAUGAUCUGCUCUUUGCUAUACAUCAUAACAAGCUGAGCUCCUACUUCUGUAAGAGAUACUAUAGAUAAAGGAUCUUAUUUGUAUCAUCACAUCAUAUAUAUAAGAAACACAUUACGGUUCUUCUCAAGUUCUGAUAAUAAUCUCAUUCAGUCCGAUGAAUUGCGAACUCAACUUCUCUUUAUAGCUAAAUCGAGAAAUUCUAUUCCCACUAUAAUACUUUCACAAAUACUCAAUUUUCUAAUUGAAAACUCAAUGUUUUACGCAUCAAGCCCACAUAUAUUUUCUGUAAAUCUGAAACUAUUUUUAGACGGUCAUGAAUUACUUUCAUUUCCCUUCAGUCUUCCCAAUCACAUCGACCCCGAAAUUCUUUUUAUAAAAAUUCAAUUCAAUACAACGAAGUUCAGUAAUUGCAACCAUACCACACUCAUACAAUGCUAUCUUAACAUUCAUCUCAUAACUAUUAUUAUUAUAUGCAAACUUAACGAACAAUAAAUGUCUUUCUCGGUUGCUUUCAAGUUCUAGAACACAGUGUUACAAAGUAAUUCCAUACCCAAAGCUCAUAGUAGUUUAUUUUAGUAACACGAUAUAAUCCUCGUGUCUCCAUUUGAACAAUGAAAACUAGCACUCUUUUAGUACUCCCCAUACGGACAGAUAAUUACCACUGUGCUGAUGUCAGAAUUGUUGUAAAAUCUCUGGAUUUCUCAAUACACAAACUCUAUCUCGACAUAACGAACAAUUGUAGGUUCCAAUCUGAAAUUCUAAAUCAGAAAUCAAUUUACGUUGUAUCUUUUUUAACUUGUAAUUCACUGACACACCUCUUAACCUCACAAAUUUGCUAAAUAAACAUCAAUUUAGUUUUUAGCUCAGCCAAUAACUACUCAUCAUUUGAUAAGAUUAAUCACAUGAUUAUCAGCCGUAAAACACAUAAAGAUUCUCGCUCAGAACCCCAGAGACUAUAAUCAUUGGUCCAGAUUGAUAAUCAAUCGCUGACUCAUAAUCUUUCAACAGUUCAAACCAUCUUUAAUUCUUUUGUCAAAUAACUCUUCACCUGAGAACUGACGCUUCAAUUAACAAUUUCUUCAACUGUUUACCACUUUAUUGAUAAUUAUCACAUCAUUCAGACUUCCCAAUCGCGAUCUAUAAGAACAUUUCUCAAUAAAAUUGUUCUGAUGGAUAUAAUUCUGUACAUAUCUUCUAGAAUAUGAAUCAUGCAUUCAGAAUAUUCAUCUAUUUAUCCGUGAACAUUCAAACUUUAUUUCCACCCUGUGGAUAAAUUCAGAUACAAAUACCUCGAUUAAUCCUUCAAGCAAUUAAUCUAAUCAAGCUAGACAACUGAAUCGAUCUCGACUGUCAAGUAACAACUUUUCAAUUAUUAAUCAACAAAGCUUUGAACCAUACUGAAGCCACAACCAUCAGAUAAUUUAAAAUCAUAGUGCCAUAAUAAGGCUGACAUCUCAACCGUAUAGAUAUAUAAUGUCCCAAUUAUCAAUAAUGCAUUUUGAACAUAAGAGAAAUUGAAAUAUAGUUACAGUCAUUUAAUAGAUAUUUUUCACAGAUAACCAUAUAGAAUCAUAAGAAAGCAAAGAUACUGUAAUUCUCGAAUAUAUCACUAUACUAAUCUUUUUUUUUAAGAAAGCACCCAUAUCAGAUGACAAAUACCUCAAUGAUGUUUCAGAGGAAAUCCAGAAGUAAAGCAUCACUCAUAUGCACCGGAAUCAACAGUAACAGACAUAAUAUAAUCUUCAUGUAUACUAAGCAGAUCAACAACCAGUAGGAGCAGAAUACCAACAUCAUACAGAUUUAAUCGUCGAUCUUUUCUUUCAAUAAAAUGAAAUAGAAUACCAGAGAAAGAUAUAGUAAUGCUGAUUGUAACCCGAACAGCCCAACAAUGCUUUCAUAUAUCAAUAUAUAUAGAUAACGUUCUCAUAUGAUAAGAAUUUCAUCUGAAAAUAUACAGCUUCACAUACCUCUGAGGAUAAUUGAACACAUAGAAUACCCAGAAGAGUUCUCGUAAACCAUUCGACUAUAAUUGAUGUGCUCAAAUAUCUUUAUAAUUCAAAUAUGAUUCUACUCUCUAUCUCUGACAUCACUAAUUUCUCAUUAUCCCAACACUAAUGGAGGCCAAUUCGGAAGAACUUCCAGUUAAUAUAUUUUUUAAAUAUCAUACCUGAAUAUUUGGUUUCAUCUAAUUCAACUUUUCUUUUAAUAGUGACUUUACAUAUUACAAAUGGCCUUCAACACGAUCCAAUAUCUUUUCUGUUACUGUCUUCACUUGCGGACUCAUUCUCUUAUCUGAUCACAAUACUAAUCCUUCAAUCACGAGACUCUGUCAUUCCGCACUUGUAAGCUUAUUUAAGCCAUAUAGUACGGAUCUCAUUAUAAUGCUUUACCAAUGAGGGGGUGAGGGUUGUAAAGCCAACAAUUUUAACUCUUACGUAAGCAUGCACAUCACACAUACUAUUAUGAACGAACAGUUCAUUACUAAUUCCGCAUUCUCAAACAUCUAGCAAUCAUUUACUUAUGAUCACUUGGUACUUAACACAUAGCUCAUACGCUAAAUCAAAUCAUAAAUUCCAAAUCAAAAUAUUCACACAACAAUCAUAUACCCAACAUCACAACUCAUAUACUCAUAUAAUUAUAACAUUUACCAAUAGCAGAAUAUCAUGCAUUCUGAUUCAUACCUUUUUAUGAGUUUCAACUCAUCACCAACACAUUUUCACUCAAACGUUUGAGUAUAACAUUCUGUACUAUCAGAAUUAGCUCGGUUGGAAAGCAUAUCUGUCUUAUGAAAAACACACAGAAUAAGCUUUGAAAGCUUAGUAAGCCUUAAGCAAAUAAAUCAUUUCAAUGAUUAUGAAAAUUCCAUAUCACUAAUCCGAAUUGAAAAAUAAUCUCAAUUGCAUAUACAUUCAUAGUACUCUUAAGUUCAUAUAACCUUAUUAAAUAGCCUCACUUAUUUAUAUUUAUUAAUAACUUACGACUAUGAUUUUAAAUUCGUGUGAUAACUGUCAAUUCAUUCGUAUGAACAAAACUUGCACAUAUCCAAUACAUACCAACCAAAACAUGUCAUAUUUUUCCCUGUUUGAUUCAUGGAACCACAAGGUCACAUGUCAAGCACAUAUAGCAUAUAUUUAUCUGUUAUUUAUCACGUCUCAUUUUCACAUAGACUACAUACAUCUGACCAAGUUUAUUCAAUAUCGAUGCCACUGUCUCGGACAGGGUCUUACACGAAUCAUAAGUGAUGCCAGUGUCCUAGACACGUUCUUAUACACUACUUCAAAUCAAUGCCUUCAUCUUGGCCGAGGUCUUACAUGAUCUCAUUUCACACACUUAGUGCCCCAACAACCGAUCUUGCACAGACAGUGCUUGGUUACGGAACUCGCACACACAGUGCCUUAACAAUCGAUCUCUCACACACAGUGCUCGGUUACAGAACUCGCAUACAAAGUGCCUCAACAACCGAUCUCGCACACACAAUGCUCGAUUACGGAACUCACACACACAGUGCCUAUGUUCACUUGUUGUUGCACAUUGAAGUGACUUAACCAAGUCUAUAAAACAUCACAUAUGUGCACUUUGAAUAUAUCAUUUCAUUUAACUUUGGAUUCAUAUAUUCAUGAACACUUAAACAUUUCAGAGCCAACUUUAAUUUAAUCAAAUCAGUAUAGAACACAAUUUCAUUCGAACAUCUGAGUACAUAUUCUAUACUAUUAAAAUUAGCUUCAUUGAAAGACUUAUCUGUCCUAUUCAAAAAAUUUUGGUCAGAGUCAGGAGAUAUCACACUAUCGCAGGUCAAAUAUGGCAUGUACAGCUAGACUCACAUACGCCAUGGUAGUCCUAGAACUGACUAAACCAUGGCUCUGAUACCAAUAAAAUGUAACACCCUUCACCUGUAUCCCUUGUCGGAACAGGGUUCGAGGUGCUACCAGAUUUAAACUCAUCCAUUUAUAUAAAACCAGACCGUAAAAUUUUUUGAUCAAUUUUAAACUUUUCAUAUACACGUAUAUUAUCCUUUAAUCGGGCUUACAAGGCCCAAAAUAUUCAUGAGGCAUUAUUAAAUAUUUACCAAUAUCUUAGUCUUGUAUCAUUUACUUACUCAACUUUACAACCCUAUACAUGCCAUAGACUCGAAACACUAAGAUUUAUUUAUGCCGAUAGUGUAGACUUGACAAUGUGAUAAUAUCUCUGACGGCCUCCAACCCGACCUAACCUGGCAACCCUAGGGAAUAUGGGAAAGAAAAGGGGAGUAAGCUUUACACUUAGUAAGUUCAUAAGAAAACAAUAAGCAACUCAUUAACAAGUUUUAUCAAUGUUUACAACAUAAUCACAAAUUCACUACAAGUUGUCUUCCUGAGCAAUAGUCACUAAAUUAUUUAUAACUAGAGCUACUAAAC